rnacentral:rRNA from 1 species
UACAGAGGUCUCAAGCGUUGCUCGGAUUCAUUGGGCGUAAAGGGUGCGUAGGUGGCGGGGUAAGUCAGGUGUGAAAUCUCGAGGCUCAACCUCGAAACUGCACUUGAUACUGCCUUGCUCGAGUACUGGAGAGGAGAUUGGAAUUUACGGUGUAGCAGUGAAAUGCGUAGAUAUCGUAAGGAAGACCAGUGGCGAAGGCGAAUCUCUGGACAGUUACUGACACUGAGGCACGAAGGCCAGGGGAGCAAACAGG